UACGGAGGGUGCGAGCGUUAAUCGGAAUUACUGGGCGUAAAGCGCACGUAGGUGGUUCGUUAAGUCGGAUGUGAAAUCCCUGGGCUCAACCUGGGAGCUGCAUUCGAUACUGGCGGACUCGAGUACGAGAGAGGAGAGCGGAAUUCCAGGUGUAGCGGUGAAAUGCGUAGAUAUCUGGAGGAACACCGGUGGCGAAAGCGGCUCUCUGGCACAAAACUGACGCUGAGGUGCGAAAGCGUGGGGAGCAAACAGGAUUAGAUACCCGAGUAGU
rnacentral:rRNA from 1 species